GGUUAAGCGACUAAGCGUACACGGUGGAUGCCCUGGCAGUCAGAGGCGAUGAAGGACGUGCUAAUCUGCGAAAAGCGUCGGUAAGGUGAUAUGAACCGUUAUAACCGGCGAUGUCCGAAUGGGGAAACCCAGUGCAAUUCGUUGCACUAUCGUUAACUGAAUACAUAGGUUAACGAGGCGAACCGGGGGAACUGAAACAUCUAAGUACCCCGAGGAAAAGAAAUCAACCGAGAUUCCCCCAGUAGCGGCGAGCGAACGGGGAGCAGCC
rnacentral:rRNA from 1 species